GAUGAACGCUGGCGGCGUGCCUAAUACAUGCAAGUCGAGCGAACAGACGAGGAGCUUGCUCCUCUGACGUUAGCGGCGGACGGUGAGUAACACGUGGAUAACCUACCUAUAAGACUGGGAUAACUUCGGGAAACCGGAGCUAAUACCGGAUAAUAUAUUGAACCGCAUGGUUCAAUAGUGAAAGACGGUUUUGCUGUCACUUAUAGAUGGAUCCGCGCCGCAUUAGCUAGUUGGUAAGGUAACGGCUUACCAAGGCAACGAUGCGUAGCCGACCUGAGAGGGUGAUCGGCCACACUGGAACUGAGACACGGUCCAGACUCCUACGGGAGGCAGCAGUAGGGAAACUUCCGCAAUGGGCGAAAGCCUGACGGAGCAACGCCGCGUGAGUGAUGAAGGUCUUCGGAUCGUAAAACUCUGUUAUUAGGGAAGAACAAAUGUGUAAGUAACUAUGCACGUCUUGACGGUACCUAAUCAGAAAGCCACGGCUAACUACGUG
rnacentral:rRNA from 1 species